GGUAUUGAGGGCUACUUCUUCGCGUAGGGAGGAAGCAUAUAGAGAAAAGGAUCAGUGUGAUAAUGAUGACGUGAGGACGAUGUUGAUAGAUAAACAAGUGAAUGUUUCGGUUUUGUUACAUUGUCAAAUUUUGGAUAGGAAGAGGGAGAAGCAGGAGUUUAUUGCUAGUCAACAGCCUAGGAUCGGUACUGUUCCAAAAGCAACUGAAGGAGAACAGGUGGCUGCAAGGUGGCCUGCGUGGUUAGCUGUGGUAGCGGGAGAAGCAAUCAGGGGAUGGAUACCACGGCGUGCAGACUCGUUUGAGAAAAUAGAUAAAGUAGUUAUAUGCUUACUCAAAUUAAUUCGUUGGAUACUUUAAUAGCCAAUUUUGGCCAGGCCUAUAAAACAAAAUUAAACCCAAAUGAAUAAUGAAAGUCUAAUUGUUCUUUAAGUCCAUUUACAACAUAUGUAUGGCCCAACAACAUAAGGCUCAUUUCAAAACCAAAUACAAAUUCAAACUAUCCAAGCCCAAUUCUAACCCUAGCCCAUUACAAAUAGAACAGCAGCAAUCCUAGCUGCCAAGUCACCAGCUGCCGCAUGCUAGGCCAACCAUUGGCCAACUCGCGCAGAGCCUUCCCCGCACGCCACCACCGGCUUCCACGCCUUUGACACCUGUAGACAGAAAUUAAUACAAGGCAUAAUAGCAAAACGACAAACAAAAUGGAGGUAAAGGGUUGUAAUUCGGCUUUAAAAGCCUGAGGAUCCUCUUUGUAAGUUUUUCACACACACCAUUAAUAAAAAAAGCAGAACAAAAGCUCGAAAAGGUUGAUUUUUUAUUCUGUUUAUACUGUUCUUUGCCUCCCCCUUUUAUUUUAUUUUAUUUUUUAUCUUUUAUUUUUUAUUUAAAAAUCAAUUUUAAACACAUAAAAAAAGGGAAGGAAACACUUACUUGGACCGCCCUGGAGUCGCGUUGUCAAAGCCUCAUCUCCGUCGACAGAGUUGAUUGCAAAAAGGGGGUAAAAGGACCUCCUUCUCUUGUUUUUGGGCUGAAAAGAUUGUGGCCCUUGAAUGGCUUAAACAGGGGCUAGAAAGCCCGGCUCGCACCUCCCAACUACUGCCCGUGGUGGCACCGUGACAACGGCGGCGAUGAUGGGUUUCAAA
rnacentral:lncRNA from 1 species